AGAGUUUGAUCCUGGCUCAGGACUAACGCUGGCGGCGCGCCUAACACAUGCAAGUCGUACGGUUUAGUGGUUGGCGUCCAGCGGUUGGGUCUCGGUUUAUCCGGGUAUUCUGACUGUUGAACGCUGGUCACUGAAUAGUGGCGGACGGGUGAGUAACGCGUAGAUUACGUGCCUUCCUCCUGGGGAUAACAGUUCGAAAGGACUGCUAAUACCGAAUACAUUCGUAUAUUAUUCGUGUACGAAGAAAGUCGCAAGGCGGAGGAAGAGCGGUCUGCGUCCUAUUAGCUAGUUGGUAGGGUAAUGGCCUACCAAGGCGACGAUGGGUAGCUGGUCUGAGAGGAUGAUCAGCCACACUGGGACUGAGACACGGCCCAGACUCCUACGGGAGGCAGCAGUGAGGAAUUUUGCACAAUGGGCGAAAGCCUGAUGCAGCGACGCCGCGUGGACGAAGAAGGCCUUUGGGUUGUAAAGUCCUGUCAGUGGGAACGAUAAUGACGGUACCCGCUGAGGAAGCUCCGGCUGACUCCGUGCCAGCAGCCGCGGUAAGACGGAGGGAGCAAGCGUUGUCCGGAAUCACUGGGCGUAAAGAGCUCGUAGGCGGGGAUCUAGGUCUGGAGUGAAAUCCAACGGCUCAACCGUUGGUCAUCCCGGAUACUGGUCUCUUGAGGACAGAAGGGAAAGGAGAAUUCCAGGUGUAGCGGUGAGAUGCGUAGAUAUCUGGAGGAACACCGGUGGCGAAGGCGCCUUUCUGGUCUGAUUCUGACGCUGAGGAGCGAAAGCCAGGGGAGCGAACGGGAUUAGAUACCCCGGUAGUCCUGGCUGUAAACGAUGGAUACUAGGUGUAGGGGUAUCGACCCCCUCUGUGCCGCACUAACGCAAUAAGUAUCCCGCCUGGGGAGUACGGCCGCAAGGUUGAAACUCAAAGGAAUUGACGGGGGCCCGCACAAGCGGUGGAGCAUGUGAUUUAAUUCGACUACGCGAAGAACCUUACCCGGGUUUGACAUUGUAGUGAAUCACGUAGAGAUACGUGCGUCCUUUUAGGACACUAUAACAGGUGCUGCAUGGCUGUCGUCAGCUCGUGACGUGAGGUGUUGGGUUAAGUCCCGCAACGAGCGCAACCCUCGUCCUUAGUUGCCAGCGAGUAAUGUCGGGCACUCUAGGGAGACUGCCACCCAAAGUGGAGGAAGGUGAGGAUGACGUCAAGUCAGCAUGGCCCUUAUGUCCGGGGCUACACACAUGCUACAAUGGCCGGUACAAUGGGCUGCAAAGCCGCGAGGUAGAGCGAAUCCCAAAAAGCCGGUCUCAGUUCGGAUUGCAGGCUGCAACUCGCCUGCAUGAAGUCGGAAUCGCUAGUAACCGCAGAUNCUACGCUGUGGUGAAUACUGUUCCCGGGCCUUGUACACACCGCCCGUCACGUCACGAAAGCCGGAUGUACCCGAAGUCGCUGGCCUAACCGUAAGGGGGGAGGCGCCGAAGGUAUGCUCGGUGAUUGGGACGAAGUCGUAACAAGGUAGCCGUAUCGGAAGGUGCGGAUGGAUCACCUCCUU
rnacentral:rRNA from 1 species